rnacentral:sRNA from 1 species
AUGAGGAUUGGUGCUGGAAGAACAAGAGCCUGGAGGUGGAAGUGCUGGAGGAUGAGGUGUCUGCAGUUGAGUUCAGGCAGACGGGCUACAUGCUGAGAUGUUCCCUGUCUCACGCCAUCACUCUGGAAUUUUAUCAGGAUGGAAAUGGGCGUGAGAAUGUGGGGAUUUAUAACCUCUCCAAAGGAGUCAACCGAUUCUGCCUGUCCAAGCCUGGUAAGUUUGGAAGGAUUGAUGUGCCAUGAAUUAGAAAAAUGGAAAGGCACCAGAGGAUGGUUUUGAAGGCAUUUUUUUCUACCUUGGUUCUGUUUGCAUCAAGCUUUCAAUUUCUGUGUGUUCAACCUGCUCUUGUUUUUCUGUCUGUCUUGGGUUUGAGUUGGGUAGAGACCACUGGGCC